UAAUAAUUAGUUUAUAGGAACAAUGCAAUUUGGCUGCAUAGGAAGUAGUGUAACUCUACUAUUAUUAA
rnacentral:tRNA from 1 species